AGGUUCAGGGUCCAGAAGACUCAGCUCUUUGGAGAUUCAUCUUUCUGUCCCUGCUGUGGCUACUGGGAUCUCUCUUCUGCUUAACAGAGAGGUCAGAAGGUUCCUAAACAAACCAGAUUUAUCAAUUAUUUAGGGCUGAUUUCUUCUGAAGUGGUAUUUCUGAUAUAUUAUUUGUUCCUGAAACAUUGUUCUUCAAAACUGCAGAGACACCUUUCAAGUAAAAAACAUUUUGUUCGACCACAUUAUUGUCCUGCGUGUUAAAAUAAAAUGAGAUUGUUAAGAUUUUGAU